rnacentral:tRNA from 1 species
GAUUAAAUGGCUGAGUUAUAGGCAAUAGACUGUAAAUCUAUUUACGAAAAUUUAUUUUCUUUAAUCA